GUGUGGGGGAUAGCCGGCCCAACGGCCGGGUAAUACCGCAUACGCUCUUUGGGGGGCAUCCCCUGGAGAGGAAAGGAGCAAUCCGCAGGCGGAGGGGCUCGCGGCCUAUCAGCUAGUUGGUGCGGGUCAUGGCCCACCAAGGCGACGACGGGUAGCUGGUCUGAGAGGAUGGCCAGCCACAUUGGGACUGAGAGACGGCCCAGACUCCUACGGGAGGCAGCAGUGGGGAAUCUUGCGCAAUGGCCGCAAGGCUGACGCAGCGACGCCGCGUGAGGGAGGAAAGUCUUCGGAUCGUAAACCUCUGUUGCCCGGGACGAAACGCCGCUUUCGAGCGGUUUGACGGUACCGGGUGAGGAAGCACCGGCUAACUCCGUGCCAGCAGCCGCGGUAAUACGGAGGGUGCGAGCGUUGUCCGGAAUCACUGGGCGUAAAAGGCGCGUAGGCGGCGGGAUCAGCGUGCGGUGAAAGCUCGGGGCUCAACCCCGAGUCGGCCGUGCGAACUGUCUCGCUGGAGCACUGUAGAG
rnacentral:rRNA from 1 species